UACAGAGGGGGCAAGCGUUAUUCGGAAUUAUUGGGCGUAAAGGGCGCGUAGGCGGCUUUGCAAGUGACGGGUGAAAUCCCUCGGCUUAACCGAGGAACUGCCUGUCAAACUGCAUGGCUUGAGACCAGGAGAGGUGAGUGGAAUUCCCAGUGUAGCGGUGAAAUGCGUAGAUAUUGGGAGGAACACCAGUGGCGAAGGCGGCUCACUGGACCGGUACUGACGCUGAGGAGCGAAAGCGUGGGGAGCGAACAGG
rnacentral:rRNA from 1 species